rnacentral:rRNA from 1 species
UNUGCUGGAACUUAACUGACGCUAAUGCGUGAAAGCGUGGGGAGCAAACAGGAUUAGAUACCCUGGUAGUNCACGCCCUAAACGAUGUAUACCGGUUGUUGCUGUGCUAGUCACGGCAGUAAUCCACCUAACGGAUUAAGUAUACCGCCUGGGGAGUACGGUCGCAUGAUUAAAACUCAAAGGAAUAGACGGGGACCCGCACAAGCGGUGGAGCAUGUGGUUUAAUUCGAAGAUACGCGAAGAACCUUACCCGGACUUGAUAUCUAACAAAUCAUCCAGAGAUGGAAGAGUGUCUGCUUGCAGAAAUGUUAAGACAGGUGCUGCACGGCUGUCGUCAGCUCGUGUCGUGAGAUGUUGGGUUAAGUCCCGCAACGAGCGCAACCCACGUCAUUAGUUGCUAACGGUUCGGCCGAGCACUCUAAUGAGACUGCCUUCGUAAGGAGGAGGAAGGUGUGGACGACGUCAAGUCAUCAUGGCCCUUAUGUCCGGGGCGACACACGUGCUACAAUGGCAUAUACAAUAAGACGCAAUAUCGUAAGAUGGAGCAAAUCUAAAAAAUAUGUCCCAGUUCGGAUUGGAGUCUGCAACUCGACUCCAUGAAGCCGGAAUCGCUAGUAAUCGUAGAUCAGCCAUGCUACGGUGAAUACGUUCCCGGGUCUUGUACUCACCGCCCGUCACACCAUGGGAGUUGAUUUCACUCGA